CUUUUUUUGUUUAUUUAUAUGAAGUAUAACCUGCCCAAUGAUAUUUAAAUGGCCGCGGUAUAUUGACUGUGCAAAGGUAGCAUAAUCAUUAGUUUCUUAAUUGGGGACUGGAAUGAAUGGUUGGACGAGAUAACAACUGUCUUAAUAUUAUUAAGGUAGAAUUUAGGUUUUAAGUUAAAAGACUUAAAUGAUUUUUUGGGACGAGAAGACCCUAUAGAAUUUGGAUAGUUAUUUUAAGUAGUUUGUUAAAUUUAAUUUUGUAAUAAUUAUUUUAUUGGGGUGAUAGAAAGAAAGAAUUAACUCUUUUUUAAUUAUUGGAUAUUGAUAUAUAGGAGAUACAUUGAUCCAUUAUUGUUGAUUAGAAGAUUAAAUUACC
rnacentral:rRNA from 1 species